UGGGGAAUAUUGCACAAUGGGCGAAAGCCUGAUGCAGCAACGCCGCGUGCGGGAUGACGGCCUUCGGGUUGUAAACCGCUUUCAGCAGGGACGAAGGUUUUCUGACGGUACCUGCAGAAGAAGCACCGGCUAACUACGUGCCAGCAGCCGCGGUGAUACGUAGGGUGCGAGCGUUGUCCGGAAUUAUUGGGCGUAAAGAGCUUGUAGGCGGUCCGUUGCGUCGGAAGUGAAAACUCAGGGCUUAACCCCUGAGCCUGCUUUCGAUACGGGCGGACUUGAGGGAUGUAGGGGAGAACGGAAUUCCUGGUGGAGCGGUGGAAUGCGCAGAUAUCAGGAGGAACACCAGUGGCGAAGGCGGUUCUCUGGACAUUUCCUGACGC
rnacentral:rRNA from 1 species